GUGCUUGCACCUGAUUGAUUUUGGUCGCCAACGAGUGGCGGACGGGUGAGUAACACGUAGGUAACCUGCCCAGAAGCGGGGGACAACAUUUGGAAACAGAUGCUAAUACCGCAUAACAACGUUGUUCCAUGAACAACGCUUAAAAGAUGGCUUCUCGCUAUCACUUCUGGAUGGACCUGCGGUGCAUUAGCUUGUUGGUGGGGUAACGGCCUACCAAGGCGAUGAUGCAUAGCCGAGUUGAGAGACUGAUCGGCACAAUGGGACUGAGACACGGCCCAUACUCCUACGGGAGGCAGCAGUAGGGAAUCUUCCACAAUGGGCGCAAGCCUGAUGGAGCAACACCGCGUGAGUGAAGAAGGGUUUCGGCUCGUAAAGCUCUGUGUUAAAGAAGAACACGUAUGAGAGUAACUGUUCAUACGUUGACGGUAUUUAACCAGAAAGUCACGGCUAACUACGUGCCAGCAGCCGCGGUAAUACGUAGGUGGCAAGCGUUAUCCGGAUUUAUUGGCGUAAAGAGAGUGCAGGCGGUUUUCUAAGUCUGAUGUGAAAGCCUUCGGCUUAACCGGAGAAGUGCAUCGGAAACUGGAUAACUUGAGUGCAGAAGAGGGUAGUGGAACUCCAUGUGUAGCGGUGGAUGCGUAGAUAUAUGGAAGAACACCAGUGGCGAAGGCGGCUACCUGGUCUGCAACUGACGCUGAGACUCGAAAGCAUGGGUAGCAAC
rnacentral:rRNA from 2 species